AGACCGAUAGCGAACAAGUAGAGUGAUCGAAAGAUGAAAAGCACUUUGAAAAGAGAGUUAAACAGCACGUGAAAUUGUUGAAAGGGAAGCGCUUUCGACCAGUCUCGCCCCCGUGGUUCUGCCGGCAUUCGUGCCGGUGUUCUUUCCCGCGGGCGGGCCAGCGUCGGUUUGGGCGGCCGGUCAAAGGCCCUCGGAAUGUUGCGCCCCCCGGGGCGUCUUAUAGCCGAGGGUGCCAUUCGGCCACCC
rnacentral:rRNA from 1 species